UUGAGUGGGGAUAGCCUACAAACGCAAAUUGGUUUGUUUAUGCGGAUUUGACGGCUUUUCUAUUAUUAUAAAAGGGAUAAAAUUGAUUAAAAAUUAAAUAGUUUCCCACCAAAAACCCCGCCAAGAAUUUUCUUAGCGGGGGUAUUUU
rnacentral:sRNA from 1 species